CCUACGGGAGGCAGCAGUAGGGAAUAUUGCUCAAUGGGGGAAACCCUGAAGCAGCAACGCCGCGUGGAGGAUGAAGGUUUUCGGAUUGUAAACUUCUUUUGUUAGAGAAGAGAAUGACGGUAUAUAACGAAUAAGCACCGGCGAACUCCGUGCCAGCAGCCGCGGUAAUACGGGGGGGGCAAGCGUUAGUCGGAAUCACUGGGCGUAAAGAGGGCGUAGGCGGGUUAGCAAGUCAGAUGUGAAAUCCUAUGGCUUAACCAUAGAACUGCAUUUGAAACUGUUAUUCUAGAGUAUGGGAGAGGUAGGUGGAAUUCUUGGUGUAGCGGUGAAAUCCGUAGAGAUCAAGAGGAAUACUCAUUGCGAAGGCGGCCUGCUAGAACAUAACUGACGCUGAGGCGCGAAAGCGUGGGGAGCAAACAGGAUUAGAUACCCGAGUAGUC
rnacentral:rRNA from 1 species